GGGGAAUUUUGGACAAUGGGCGCAAGCCUGAUCCAGCCAUGCCGCGUGGGUGAAGAAGGCCUUCGGGUUGUAAAGCCCUUUUGUUGGGAAAGAAAAGCAGCCGGCCAAUACCCGGUUGUUCUGACGGUACCCAAAGAAUAAGCACCGGCUAACUUCGUGCCAGCAGCCGCGGUAAUACGAAGGGUGCAAGCGUUACUCGGAAUUACUGGGCGUAAAGCGUGCGUAGGUGGUGGUUUAAGUCCGUUGUGAAAGCCCUGGGCUCAACCCCGGAACUGCCUUUGAUACUGGAAGUCUUGAGUAUGGUAGAGGUGAGUGGAAUUCCGAGUGUAGAGGUGAAAUUCGUAGAUAUUCGGAGGAACACCAGUGGCGAAGGCGGCUCACUGGACCAUUACUGACGCUGAGGUGCGAAAGCGUGGGGAGCAAACA
rnacentral:rRNA from 1 species